AAGAAAACAAACACAACACACUAUUACAAAUUUAAAUUGCAAAGUCUUCUAUUUAAUUAUUUAUAAGAGAGCAUGAACUUCUUUCUCAAACUUCUCUAUUUUUUUAUUUUAUAUUGUUCCUUAAUUCUUAUCGCAACACAAGUGGCUGGAGUUAAAAUUGGAUGUAAAACUGAUGCUGAUUGUCCCAAAUCGGAUUCUGAUGGUGAAAUUAAUGUAUGCAAGUACGGCUAUUGUUCGGUUAAAGGGAGACGUGGGUGGAUCGAAAUUCCAUGAUAACUUUACAAAAAUGUAAGAAUGAGUUACGGUGUCAGAAAAAAAAUAAUAUAUCUUAUUAUUUAAUAUGUAAUAAACUUUUUAUAUUUUUUUUAUAAGUCAAAACUUUGCUUUUAUGAUUUUCAACUCUAAAAUGAUGGUAACACAAUAAAAUAUAAUAUUUAAAUUGUCUUAUUCCCUCAUUUAGAGUUAUUAUGAAUGUAAAUGUUUGGUACAGGAUUCAAUCCUUACCUUAAUUUUAAUUUAUGUUUAUGUACUAAUGUCAAUAAGUUUUUGAUAUAUAUAAAUCAAGAACAUUAAAUAAAAAUUUAUUUAAUUUAUAAUAUAUUUCCAA